GAAAUAUAGCUCAGCUGGGAGAGCGCCUGCUUUGCACGCAGGAGGUCUGCGGUUCGAUCCCGCAUAGCUCC
rnacentral:tRNA from 1 species